GGGGGUAUAGCUCAGGGGUAGAGCGCUCGCUUCGCAUGUGAGAAGUCUGGGGUUCAAUUCCCCAUACCUCCA
ensembl:tRNA